rnacentral:rRNA from 1 species
UACGUAGGGUGCGAGCGUUGUCCGGAAUUAUUGGGCGUAAAGAGCUCGUAGGCGGUGUGUCACGUCGGCCGUGAAAACCUGGGGCUUAACUCUGGGCGUGCGGUCGAUACGGGCAUCACUAGAGUUCGGCAGGGGAGACUGGAAUUCCUGGUGUAGCGGUGAAAUGCGCAGAUAUCAGGAGGAACACCGGUGGCGAAGGCGGGAUCCUGGGCCAGUACUAACGCUGAGGAGCGAAAGCGUGGGGAGCAAACAGG